AACCAGACUCCUACGGGAGGCAGCAGUGAGGAAUAUUGGUCAAUGGGCGCGAGCCUGAACCAGCCAAGUCGCGUGAGGGAGGACGGCCCUACGGGUUGUAAACCUCUUUUGCCGGGGAGCAACGGGCGUCACGUGUGGCGCCACUGAGAGUACCCGGAGAAAAAGCAUCGGCUAACUCCGUGCCAGCAGCCGCGGUAAUACGGAGGAUGCGAGCGUUAUCCGGAUUUAUUGGGUUUAAAGGGUGCGUAGGCGGCUCGUUAAGGCGGGGGUCAAUUGGGGGGACCCACCCCCUUCCCGCCAUUGAAACUGGCGUUCUUGAGUGGAAGAGAAGUAUGCGGAAUGCGUGGUGUAGCGGUGAAAUGCAUAGAUAUCACGCAGAACUCCGAUUGCGAAGGCAGCAUACCGGCGCCCAACUGACGCUCAGGCACGAAAGCGUGGGUAUCGAACAGGAUUAGAUACCCUCGUAUC
rnacentral:rRNA from 1 species